UACAGGGGGUGCAAACGUUGCUCGGAAUCAUUGGGCGUAAAGCGCACGUAGGCGGUUCGUUAUGUCGGAUGUGAAAGCCCUUGGCUUAACCGAGGAAGUGCAUCCGAAACUGGCGAGCUUGAGUACGAAAGAGGAUCGCGGAAUUCCCGGUGUAGAGGUGAAAUUCGUAGAUAUCGGGAGGAACACCGGUGGCGAAGGCGGCGAUCUGGGUCGAUACUGACGCGUGAGGUGCGAAAGCGUGGGGAGCAAACAGG
rnacentral:rRNA from 1 species